GAUGAACGCUAGCUACAGGCUUAACACAUGCAAGUCGAGGGGAAACGACAUCGCAAGCUUGCUUUUGAUGGGCGUCGACCGGCGCACGGGUGAGUAACGCGUAUCCAACCUGCCCAUCACUUGGGAAUAACCUUGCGAAAGUAAGACUAAUACCCAAUGACAUCCCACGAAGACAUCUGAAUGGGAUUAAAGAUUUAUCGGUGAUGGAUGGGGAUGCGUCUGAUUAGCUUGUUGGCGGGGUAACGGCCCACCAAGGCAACGAUCAGUAGGGGUUCUGAGAGGAAGGUCCCCCACAUUGGAACUGAGACACGGUCCAAACGCCUACGGGAGGCAGCAGUGAGGAAUAUUGGUCAAUGGGCGAGAGCCUGAACCAGCCAAGUAGCGUGCAGGAUGACGGCCCUAUGGGUGGUAAACUGCUUUUAUAAGGGAAUAAAGUGGGUCUCGUGAGACUUUUUGCAUGUACCUGAUGAAUAAGGACCGGCUAAUUCCGUG
rnacentral:rRNA from 1 species